rnacentral:lncRNA from 1 species
AAGUAAGAUAUUAUUUUCGUUUUUCACCGUAUCAAUUAAUCAAAAAAAUUAAAAGGACGAAAAAAUAUAGACAAAUAGAAACAAAAACAAUAGGCUAGUUUGAAUUGACUAGAAUGCCCCUCCCAUCGUAGGCAUGACAAUUUGCUCCGCCCCGCUCCAAUCCGAAAUUCCCCGGUAUUACCCGCCCCGAAAAAAUAUGGGGCGGGGGAUCGGGAUUGACAAAAAAGCUCGACCAGGUCCCCGUGAAGAUUUUACGGGACGGGUUUUGGAAUCCCAGUUCAUAACGUUCGAGAAUGGGAUGGGGAAUUCCAGAGCGGGACAGAGACGGGGAUCGCAAAACCGGGCCCACAGCCAUCCCUACCCCAUCAUG